rnacentral:lncRNA from 1 species
AUAAAUAUUCAAUACGACAAACACAUCAGUUCGAAUACCAUACAAAUAAAAAAAACUUGAAAAAACUGAAUAAAAUUAUCUAAGAAAUUUCAACACUACAAUAUAAAGAAUAUAUAUAUCUUUUUAAAAAACUUAUGAAAUUUGGAGGAAGGCUCCAUUUGAUGAAGAUGGCAGCGCCAAGCUUGGCAAUGCAGCGUGCAAACUCAUAUUUCAUCCACAGAACGUGCUCGAUCUUGGCCUCGAAACUCAUGGAGGAGGAAGAGAAAGUAGAGAAGGAGAGAAGCGGGCUUUUUGGCCUCGGAAUUCAUGGAGGAGGAAGAGAAAGUAGAGAAGGAGAGAAGGGAGCUUUUUGUGGAUUUUUAUGAUUUACGAUUUAGAUUAGGGUUAAAAAUGAGUGGACCAUUAAUUAAACGUUAUGUGUGGAGGGAAGGCGAAGGGUUGGAUUAAGGUGGGUGGACUAUUAAUUAGACAUUAUGGAUGGAGGGAAUGAGAAAGGUUCGGUUAAGGUGGGUGAACUAUUAAUUAGACGUUAUGGAUGGAGGGAAGGUGAAGAAUUGGUUUCGUAAUGUGAAACCUAAAAGUAAAAAAAAUAUUGCCA